AUUAAAUGCCCUGUUUUAUGCAUAUCAGCACUUUCUUUUAACCAUGUGCAGAGAAAAGUUAGCACAUACUUUAGCUUGUGAUUCUUUCAAUGCCAUAGUUGUCUUUUCACUCCCUUGUCUGAAGCUCAUAUGAUUUUCUUGAUCUUUUUGACCACUGAUGAUCCUUUUCUCUUUCCAGGUUGCAGGUUUUGUAGAGUAAGGGAACACUUACAGAAUCUAUGUUAGUCUUCAUGGUAGAGGACACAGACUUUUUAAACAGAAUACUGAUGACAUUAAUUGUUUAAUGUCAAGUCUCAAGUGUAUUCUCUCAUUCAUUUUGCAGCCUUAUGAUCACAGUUAGAAUGACCAGGGUUCUUCCCCUGCAGCAUAUGUUUUUGUUUCGCAAGAUAAUCCCUUGGGGCACGCUUAUUCUGUUCCAAAUAUUACUACCGUUCAUUUUAUUACUGAUUCAUUUUUAUAUAUGUGUUCAUCUUUUCUUGAUUUACUCUCUUAAAUCCCUUAGUGCAGACUUAUUCUAUUCCAUUAUUUGCUUUUGAUGUAUUCCAUGAAGUAUUUUUAUCAAGGACUGCCUUAUAUAGAUCUUGAGAGGAGGACUCCUCAAUUUUGUUUCAGAUGGAUAUAGAAUUUACAAUUAAUCAGAUUCAACAUUAAGUUAUAAAAGUACUACCGCCUUUUGUUGGGUCGAGCUUUAAUUUUUAUUUUAAAUUUGGAACAUUAAAUUUUGUAACUUCUCUGUGGAAACAUACAUACUAUAGAUAGUAUUAAAAUUAUAUCAUGGCGUUUUAUAAGAGCAACUUAAAAAAUACAGUAGAGUUUUAAAAAUGAGCUUUAAAAUGCUCAUCACACAAUCCACUACUCGUUCUACCCAUUCAACUGUUCAGGCUUCAUCACCAGUUAUUCAAUCGGAUUCUAAUACAAGUGUACUUCAUAUUCCUUGAGAAACAUUUGAAGGGGUAGAGGAGAAGGUAAGUUAUAGCUGUCGCUUUUCGCUAUUCUUGCAGUGUGGGGUUCCUUGAUUGGAUAUUUUCUUUGUAUUGGCAAGGUAGAUCAAAGAUGGGCUGAGCACAUAGUUUAUGAUCCCUUGAAACUGAAACUGCACUUGCAUUUGAAAAGAACUGUGGAAUUCUUCCUCCAAACAAGUUAUUGCUGAUACCCAAGUGCUCUAAUCUGACACAAGUUUGGAGGGUACUUGGAAUUUCACCUGUUAAUUUGUUAUGUGACAAAUACAACUCCUUGAGAUUUUUCAACCUUCCCACUUCUAAUGGGAAAGGACCACCCAACAUAUUACGCGUCAAGUGUAAAGAAACUGAAAGAGAAGAUGGACAUGCAACCUCUUGUGGUAUGUAGCCAACAAGAUUGUUUCCAGUAAGGUUUAGCACUUCUAGACUGGUCUUUUUCCAAGAUCUGCAGGUGUGUUUCCUUCUAGUCUAUUGUUUUCCAUGGAUAAAGUUGUCAGCAAUUGUCGAGUUACUAUAAGAGGACGGGACCCUCCCUGAAAACUUAUUUCCAUCCAACUCCAGUUCUUGGAGGUGUUGAAGCUUGUCUAAAGACUCGGGAACGCUGCCCCUGAAGUUGUUAUUAUCGAGUGAUAAUCUGGUCAAAUUUUCAAGGUUCCCCAGUCCAUCAGGAACAGUGCCAUGUAUAAUAUUAAAACCUAGAUCAAGCAUUAAGUUUCUCUGAAAAGUUUGGAAUUGAAUUCGGAAGUUCUCCUCCAAGGGAGUUGUCUAGCAAACUCAAAACCUCCAAACUCGGAAGUUUAUUGGGAAAUCAAAAAACUUUCAGAUCCAUAUUUCCAUAUUCUGCAGGUGUAGUGAACUCAAAGUUGAGUUUAUACAAUUGUUGGAAUUUUCCUACACCUGCUUGAAUAGUUCCAGUGAGUCCACUUCCAGAAAGAUCAAGAAGAGUGAACCUGGAAGCAUUUGAUAAUGAAACAGGAAUUGGUCCUGUGAACUUGUUCAGACCACCAGCAAGUACCUCAAGCUCUGGAAAGUUUAGGCCUAUAUCUGGUGGAAAUUCUCCGUAAAGCAUUUUCUCACAACAGAGAAAAAGCCAACGGAGGAGAUAUUGUAGAUAGAUUGAGGAAUUUUACUAGUCAACUGAUUUUGAAGAAAUUUGGAAAAUUUCAAAGUUCGGCAGUAGGCCAAGAUCCAAAGGUAUCAAGCGAACUCAAAAGACCUUAAAGCGACGAAAAAUUUCCUAUCCAAGGUGGAAGUCCUCCUGUGGGAUUUGUUUAUUCCAAGCCCCAAGUAAAUCAACUUUGAUAGUGAACUGAGCUGAUCAGGUAUUAUCCCAACAAAACCAUUAGACUCUAGAGAAAGUAUUCUAAGUUCUGUACAGUAAGUCAGAUUAGUAGGAACUGCCCAGUGAGAUUGAGAUGUUGCAGGUGCAGAGCAGCAAGUUCCCAAUUUCUUAGGGAAUUUUAUCAUAUCAGCUAUUGUUUCGAAGAUUAAUGCUCGUGAGGAAUGUAAGGUUCUCGAUGGAAGGCAGUAUGGAGCCACUGAGAUUUUUUGGUCUCAAGUCAAGAAUCACGACUCUUUCGUUGGAGGAACGGCAUGUUAUACCUGUACAGUUGCAGUCAUGAAUGAGAAUUGUUCCAAGAAGCUAUGGCUUGGAAUGGAUCCUCACUAAUUUUACUUUUGAAGUCUAGUAAAGCCAGCUUAUCAGCUUCAUUUUCGAUAAAUUUCAACCCUGAGAUUUCCUGGGACAUAACAAGAAUUGAAUACUGGAAAUAUGAGACUCCAUUUGUUAUGCAGGCAAGGCUGCACCAUCUCUCCUGAAGUACACAAACUGUUAAGCAAAUCUGCUGCACGCUUGUUCCUUUGAGUGAAUCUCUGUAAAAGCAGUAAAUGACAAAAAAAGAAAGUUCUAUGAUCUGCUUUUUGUAUAUACAUGAAUAUGAAGAACCUUUCUGGUACACAAGUUAUUGAGAACGAGACAUCAACUUCAGUUUGAUACUUUCAGUAGUUCAGCCAAAACGUUUCCAAGUAUUUAUCCCAUUUAUGAGAUCUGUUCUGCCUAGCACACAAUUUGCUGUUUUUAAACCUUGGUGAGGGUUGAAGAUGACAAAAAAUGUCUUUAAACUGAAGAGUUCAUCAGAGGAUCUCUCUGAGACAUAUAGCAUAAAUUAUCUCCAUAGCAUGAUUGUGGUUAGUGGAUAACUGUUUCUCACUUUUACAAGCUUGUUUGGGUCUAUAUCCGUAAAGACAACUUGACUACCUACUGGCCUUUGCAAGUUUGUUCUUUACCAAAAAUAGAUCUAAACAGGAUUUCUGUCGUCAAGUCAUAAGCAGAUAAAUACUUGCUUUUCGUAUCAUCUAAUUUUCCCUUUUCUUCUUUUAUGUUUGGAUCUCUGCAUUCAGUAACAAGAGUCAAGUUUUCAACAAGGAGAAUCAAAAUAUAAAAUAUAUAUACGUAGUGUCAAGGGAAUUUGAUACAUAGUAUGUACAUACACAAUCUUUUUUUACCUGCAUACUCAACAUAAUUUUUUUACAAUGGGGCAUCAAUUGACUCCUCUUGGACGAGGAUAGUUCUGCUCCGGUUUGCACUUAAAUUUUGGACCAUGGAAUCCAUCAGAAUUUUGAGUCAUUUGACAUUAUAUUGAUAAAUGACUACAUUUUCUUAAUGGUUAUUUAAACAAUGUAAUGGCAAUCAACCUUAGAUCACCCAAAGUGGAUUCAAUUUGUUAUUUUUCUUCAUUUUGAAUACUACAACCUUAGUAGUAGUAGUAGUAGCGUUUUAGGAAGAUUAUUGCGGCUAUUGUAUAUUAGCAACAAUAUACAAAAGAACUUGGACAAACUUUAAAACGUUUGUAGCUGAAAAAUUAUAAAUUGAGGAUUAGGAUGAAGAAAAUCGACCACAAAUUGCAUCAAAUUGUAAAUUGAAUCAAAUCAAAAAAAUUCGACUAGUAAUUUGAUUUGAC